AGAAUCAACGCUGGCGGCGUGCCUAACACAUGCAAGUCGAUCGAGAAAGUGGAGCAAUCCAUGAGUAAAGUGGCGCACGGGUGAGUAACACGUGACUAACCUACCCUUGAGUGGGGAAUAACUGAGGGAAACCUUAGCUAAUACCGCAUAACACCUACGGGUCAAAGGAGCAAUUCGCUUAAGGAGGGGGUCGCGGCAGAUUAGUUAGUUGGCGGGGUAAUGGCCCACCAAGACAGUGAUCUGUA
rnacentral:rRNA from 1 species